CCGUAUGUUAUAGCUUAUUUUAGUAUAGCCUUCACAGAGCGCCAUAGUUCUUUUUAACAAAGAGAAAAGUUAUACAAGUUUUUAAUUUCAAAUGAUUUGGUAAAUAACUGCGAACUUCUUCGGAGAUUACAAAAAAAGUUAUUUUUAUAAGUUAAAAAAGAAAAACAAAAGUCGACAAAGAAAUAAAAAGAAAAAAGAAAGAAAAAGAAAAGAGUCAACAAAAAAAAAAGUUUCAAGGUAAAAAAGAACUGAAAUGAUUUCAAGAUGAUUUGUUUGGAUAUAAUCUUUCCGCUCCGAAGUACGCCUUUUGGGGCUCUCGCUAUAGCGAGGGCGCCAAAAGGCUUACUUCAGAUCUUGAAGUAUGUUUUACACAAAAUCUCAUAAACAUUAUGUUCUGUUGCAUUUCUGAAUUAAAGUUAUGAACAUAUGGUCCACAACAGUCCGGAAACACUUGGCCGACAAAAAGGUAACUUAAAAAAGCAUAAAAAUUAUGACUUAUAAAGGUCGCCAAUUAGCUGAAUCAGAAAUUCAGAACUUCAUAAAUGAGUUAAAAAACAAUGAAAAUGAAGAUUAUGAAGAUGAUUAGUGGCAUUAAUGUCUAUUAAAAGCGAAGUUACAAAAAGUCUAGAUUUUGAAGAGAUUCUGAAUCAUUUUAUGUAUGAAAAAUCAAGGAAAAAAAUAUACUAAUUUGGAUACAUCAAUUGCAAGUUUCCAAAUACAUGCAAAGUAAAUUGAAAGAGUUGAUAGAGUCGCAGCAUUUUUAGAGAAAUAUCAGUGUUUCCCUAAUGUUCUAUUAGUAAGAUUUUUUUUUUCAUUUGUGAUUUCAUAUAUUUAUUGGAUAAAGUGCAAUAGUGUUUCAAAAUCACAAAUCCUUUUUUAAGUGAGAAGAUAUUUUCAAAACUGCCAUGUCCUCUAAUGGGUUAUUCUAAAAGUUUUCUCUGCUUUAUAAAGUUGUAUGCUUUUUUUAUUAUUGUUAUUUAAUUCAGAUUGUUGGCGACAUUGCUCAUGUAUUAAAAUCUUCUGUCAUAGUUGACUCAGCAAGAAUAAAGACAUUGAUACACCUUUGCAUUAUGGAAUACACAAGUUGGCAGUUCCUCGCCCACUGCCACCCAAAUACAGGAAAGUAUGCAUGCAUACACAAUCCUCAAAAUUAGUAAAACUAAAGUGAGUAAUAAAUUUUCGACUUUAAAUUGUUUUAGGUUGGCAUCAGAUUACAAUCGGCAAACAUAAAGCCAUUUUUAGAAAGGUUUUACUAUAAAAGAUGAAAACGAGGUCAGCAAAAAAUUGCCAACCUCAGGCAUUUUUAUGUUUUUGCUUGCUUAGGGUUAGAGUUAGGUACAAUAAUGUAUUGAAAUCAAUUAAUAAUUAAAUAAGGAAUGUGUUUUUAGAUACUUAAGUUAAACACUUAAUAAAGUACUUGCUGCAAUUACUUUCAAAAGACUAAAACUGGACAUAUUGUUUUAGAAAAAGCUACUUAAAAAAUCCUUAUCUGUACGUAACAGACGACAUACAAAAAGGCUUUCAGAUCAUUUAAAAAUCACUUAAAGGGAAAACCAUCGGUACUAUGGAGACGAAGUGAUUAUUAUGUGUGGCAAAAGAUUAUUUUAUGAAGUUUUUCAUUUUCUGAAUUCGUGAUGGAACCUUUUGGAAUACACUUGUCAUGGACAUGGGAGGAGUAUUGCCGCUACAAGCUUGAACAAUGAUAAAACAUUUCAAAGAAUAAUUUGUUAUUUCAACGAUUAGAUUUGUUGUUUAAAUGUAUAAAUGCUUUUUGAA